GUUUAUGCAAGAAGCCUGUACCAAAGGGACCGAACAAGUAGAGGAGGCGCUUAUUGUGAGAGAGGAGAGGAAAAUUUUCGUAAAUGCCAACAGAUAUGGUUGUAAUCCCAGUUUGUUAUUUUGGUGAUUUUAAAUUGGAUGAAAAUGAUCGAUGGAUAUAAAAAUGGACGAAUAAUGUACGUGGUGGUAUUCCGAUUUCCAUAGCAAGUAAUACAUCAUACGUGGAAAUGUACCAUAAUUUAGAAAGCAAGCUGAAUGUCGAUGUCUCUAAGCAUAAGAUGGAACUAAGAUUUCAAUUCAAGGAGCAUUCAUCCUUUUCGAUUCCACCUAUGAAGGUUACUUCUAAUUCUGAAGUGAAUUGUCUAUUUGAAUUGAAUAAAACGCACACGACUCCUCUUUGCGUGACUUUAGUGAAGAAGGAUGUGAUAAAAUUCGAUACGGGUAAGUUCUAAAUUAAAUCGACCCAAUUCAGUUGUUGAAACCAAAUCGAACUGUUGUCAAUUUUAUAUUCUGCAAGUAUAUGGAUCGUUAUUGGUAAUAAAGUGGACCUAAAAGUUCGGAUAUUAUU